rnacentral:rRNA from 1 species
GUGACCUCAAAUCAGGUAGGACUACCCGCUGAACUAAGCAUAUCAUAAGCGGAGGAAAAGAAACUA